rnacentral:tRNA from 1 species
GCGGGUGUAGUUCAAUGGUAGAAUACCGGCUUCCCAAGCCUGAGGCGGGGGUUCGAUUCCCCUCACCCGCU